rnacentral:rRNA from 1 species
UCCCGCCUGCCCUGUGACUUGUUUAACGGCCGCGGUAUUUUGACCGUGCGAAGGUAGCGUAAUCACUUGUCUUUUAAAUGAAGACCUGUAUGAAUGGCAUAACGAGGGCUAAGCUGUCUCCUUUUUCCAGUCAAUGAAAUUAAUCUUCCCGUGCAGAAGCGGGAAUCUAAACAUAAGACGAGAAGACCCUAUGGAGCUUCAGACUAAAGGCAGCUCACAUUAAAAUAACUGGACAAACAGAACAAAUCAAGUGACCCCUGCCCUAAUGUUUUUGGUUGGGGCGACCGCGGGGGAACAAAAAUCCCCCAUGUGGAAUAGGAAUUUUAAAACUAGAGCCACAGCUCUAACAAGCAGAAUUUCUGACCAACAAGACCCGGCAAAGCCGAUCAACGGACCGAGUUACCCUAGGGAUAACAGCGCAAUCCCCUUUUAGAGCCCAUAUCGACAAGGGGGUUUACGACCUCGAUGUUGGAUCAGGACAUCCUAAUGGUGCAGCCGCUAUUAAGGGUUCGUUUGUUCAACGAUUAAAGUCCUACGUGAUCUGAGUUCAGACCG